rnacentral:rRNA from 1 species
AGAGUUUGAUUCUGGCUCAGGACGAACGCUGGCGGCGUGCCUAACACAUGCAAGUCGAACGGGGUACCCAUGACGGAGAUUUCGGUCAACGGAUUGGACUACCUAGUGGCGGACGGGUGAGUAACGCGUGAGCAACCUGCCCUUCGGAGGGGGACAACAGCUGGAAACGGCUGCUAAUACCGCAUAACAUAUACUUGAGGCAUCUUGAGUAUAUCAAAGAUUUAUCGCCGAAGGAUGGGCUCGCGUCUGAUUAGCUAGUUGGUGGGGUAACGGCCCACCAAGGCGACGAUCAGUAGCCGGACUGAGAGGUUGAACGGCCACAUUGGGACUGAGAUACGGCCCAG